rnacentral:rRNA from 1 species
UACGAGUACCCCAAGCGUUAUCCGGAAUUACUGGGCGUAAAGGGUGUGUAGGCGGCUUUAUUAGUCUUUCGUUAAAGCUCUGGGCUUAACCCAGGAAAUGCGAAAGAAACGGUAAGGCUUAGAGAGUGGGAGGGGCUAGUGGAACUCAUGGUGUAGGGGUGAAAUCCGUUGAUAUCAUGGGGAACACCAAAAGCGAAGGCAGCUAGCUGGCCCAUUUCUGACGCUGAAACACGAAAGCGUGGGUAGCGAACGGG